rnacentral:rRNA from 1 species
GAUGAACGCUGGCGGCGUGCCUAAUACAUGCAAGUCGAACGAAACUUCUUUAUCACCGAGUGCUUGCACUCACCGAUAAAGAGUUGAGUGGCGAACGGUUGAGUAACACGUGGGCAACCAGCCCAAAAGAGGGGGAUAACACUUGGAAACAGGUGCUAAUACCGCAUAACCAUAGUUACCGCAUGGUAACUAUGUAAAAGGUGGCUAUACUACCGCUUUUGGAUGGGCCCGCGGCGCAUUAGCUAGUUGGUAGGGUAAAGGCUUACCAAGGCAAUGAUGCGUAGCCGAAGUGAGAGGUUGAUCGCCCACAGUGGGACUGAGACACGGCCCAAACUCCUACGGGAGGCAGCAGUAGGGAAUCUUGCACAAUGGGCGAAAGCCUGAUGGAGCAACGCCGCGUGGGUGAAGAAGGUCUUCGGAUCGUAAAACCCUGUUGUUAGAGAAGAAAGUGCGUGAGAGUAACUGUUCACGUUUCGACGGUAUCUAACCAGAAAGCCACUGCUAACUACGUG